rnacentral:lncRNA from 1 species
GCCGACGUAUAUCACAUUUCUAGGACAUGAUUUUAUAUUUUAUGGGCAUUUAUAUUAUCAUUCAUACUUUAUGUGUCCAUGAAACAUCCAAGGAAUUAACAAGAUGACGAUACAUAUUCUUAAAGAGUUAAAAAUUUGAGACAUGUGUUAUUAAUGGUUAAUUUCUAAAUUGCUCCUAGUCAUAGGAUCAUCAUGGGGAU